rnacentral:rRNA from 1 species
GAUGAACGCUGGCGGCGUGCCUAAUACAUGCAAGUCGAACGCUGGAAAUCUAGCUUGCUAGAUUGAAGGAGUGGCGAACGGGUGAGUAAUACAUAAGCAACCUACCCACGAAGACUGGGAUAAUCUCUGGAAACGGGGACUAAUACCGGAUAGGUAAUCGGAAGGCAUCUUCUGAUUAUUAAAGGUUAAAAAUACUGGUGGAUGGGCUUAUGGCGCAUUAGUUAGUUGGUGAGGUAACGGCCCACCAAGACGAUGAUGCGUAGCCGGCCUGAGAGGGUGAACGGCCACAUUGGGACUGAGACACGGCCCAGACUCCUACGGGAGGCAGGAGUAGGGAAUUUUCGGCAAUGGGGGAAACCCUGACCGAGCAACGCCGCGUGAGUGAGGACGGCCUUCGGGUUGUAAAGCUCUGUUGUAAGAGAAGAACGGUAGAUAGAGAAUAUCUAAAUGACGGUACCUUACCAGAAAGCCACGGCUAACUACGUG